rnacentral:rRNA from 1 species
AGUGAACGCUGGCGGUAGGCCUAACACAUGCAAGUCGAACGGCAGCACAGUAAGAGCUUGCUCUUACGGGUGGCGAGUGGCGGACGGGUGAGGAAUACAUCGGAAUCUACUUUUUCGUGGGGGAUAACGUAGGGAAACUUACGCUAAUACCGCAUACGACCUACGGGUGAAAGCAGGGGAUCUUCGGACCUUGCGCGAUUGAAUGAGCCGAUGUCGGAUUAGCUAGUUGGCGGGGUAAAGGCCCACCAAGGCGACGAUCCGUAGCUGGUCUGAGAGGAUGAUCAGCCACACUGGAACUGAGACACGGUCCAGACUCCUACGGGAGGCAGCAGUGGGGAAUAUUGGACAAUGGGCGCAAGCCUGAUCCAGCCAUACCGCGUGGGUGAAGAAGGCCUUCGGGUUGUAAAGCCCUUUUGUUGGGAAAGAAAAGCAGCAGGUUAAUACCCCGUUGUUCUGACGGUACCCAAAGAAUAAGCACCGGCUAACUUCGUG